rnacentral:rRNA from 1 species
GAUGAACGCUGGCGGCGUGCCUAACACAUGCAAGUCGAGCGAAGCGGGGACGGGUGAGUAACAUGUGGAUAACCUCCUAUAAGACUGGGUUAACUUCGGGAAAACUGACCUAAACCGGUUACUGAUAGAUGGUUCCGCGCUGCAUUAGCUAGUUGGUGAGGGAACGGCUUACCAAGGCAACGAUGCAUAGCCGACCUGAGAGGGUGAUCGGCCACACUGGAACUGAGACACGGUCCAGACUCCUACGGGAGGCAGCAGUAGGGAAUCUUCCGCAAUGGGCGAAAGCCUGACGGAGCAACGCCGCGUGAGUGAUGAAGGUCUUCGGGUCGUAAAGCUCUGUUAGUGGGGAGGCGGUACCUAAUCAGGAAGCCCCGGCUAACUACGUGCCAGCAGCCGCGGUAAUAC